rnacentral:lncRNA from 1 species
CUCUUCUUCCUCUCUUUCUCUCUCACACACACACCUCUAUCUAUGUCUAUCUCUUUCUCUGUCUCUAUCAACAGUCUCAGCAGACCCCCAGCAUCAACUGCCAGACGUCUAGUGCAGUAGAGUUAAAACGCAAGUAAGCCUAUGGAAUCCAAAUAAAUGAGAUGGAGUUUGGGGCACAAUGAGAAGAAAGAGUCAGAGGAAUCCGUACACAUGAGGCUAGUGAUAUGCAGUACGAUACUCUCUCAUCAUGCUGGACAGCAGCAAUGAGCCUCAGCUCGCACUCAGCCUUACGAUCACAGGAGUAGCUUUGGAAAUGCCAGAGCUGGAGUGGAGCAAUCGGGCAAGUGUGGAAACUACAG